AUACGUAGGUGGCAAGCGUUAUCCGGAUUUACUGGGCGUAAAGGGCGUGUAGGCGGUCUUGCAAGUCAGAAGUGAAAUUCCUGAGCUCAACUCGGGCGCUGCUUCUGAAACUGCAGGACUUGAGUGCUGUAGAGGCAAGUGGAAUUCCCAGUGUAGCGGUGAAAUGCGUAGAUAUUGGGAAGAACACCGGUGGCGAAGGCGACUUGCUGGGCAGCAACUGACGCUGAGGCGCGAAAGCCAGGGGAGCAAACGGGAUUAGAUACCCCGGUAGUCCUGGCCGUAAACGAUGAAUGCUAGGUGUGUGUGUAGAGAUACAUGCGUGCCGGAGUUAACGCGAUAAGCAUUCCGCCUGGGGAGUACGGUCGCAAGAUUGAAACUCAAAGGAAUGGACGGGG
rnacentral:rRNA from 1 species